rnacentral:rRNA from 1 species
UACGAAGGGGGCGAGCGUUGUUCGGAUUUACUGGGCGUAAAGGGCGCGCAGGCGGCUCAUUUUGUCAGGCGUGAAAGCCCCGGGCUUAACCUGGGAACUGCGUUUGAUACGGAUGGGCUAGAGUUCGGGAGAGGAGAGUGGAAUUCCCAGUGUAGAGGUGAAAUUCGUAGAUAUCGGGAGGAACACCUGUGGCGAAAGCGGCGCACUGGACCACAACUGACGCUGAGGCGCGAAAGCUAGGGGAGCAAACAGG